AAAUACAAAUAAUAAGAAUAAUGUACAAAAGAGUUAGUGAAGCAGAACGGUUUUCUGCACUUACUUAGUGUACUUAGGUAUCUAUUUAAAAAAUAUUUUGCAACACGUUGAUAAAAACUGACAUAAAAAUUUCGUAUAAAAUAAUCUUGUAUAGGCUGACUGAUGUUUAGAUGCAUAAAUUAUCUACAUCAGUAGAUUUCAAAAUUCAAUGAAGUUGAACAAUAGAAAAAUUGGUGCCUGUUGUGAUGAAACACAAAGUAACAACUAAGUUUGUUUUAUCAUUGUUUGGAGAUCUAAUCUUGUCCCUGUCCAUUCAUUUGUCGUCUCCCAGGACUAGGUCUGCCUUCUAUCCUCUCCUUUAUUAUCAGCUACAAGAAGUGAUAAUUGUCGUGUCUAAAAUAUAUUUAUAUCUGAGGCAUUAAAAAGUUGCAAUUUUUUUCAUUCCCCCGGCGCAUUUCAAAUAAUUCCAAGAAGGACAAGGAAGCCAGAAAGAUAGGACCUUAGCUCUAAAAUUAUUUAAAGAAAAUCUACACUUGUUUUAUAUUUUUAUAAUUUUAUGUGAUUUAAUAAAUGUAUUGUAUUUU
rnacentral:lncRNA from 1 species